CCCCUAUAUGUGUAGCUAUUCAGUGUAGUGAUUACCUCUUGGUAACAACAUCAGUCUCCUAUAGAUGACCAAGGAUGAGCUUGUCUACACCUUUGCCCUUACCUACACCCCUGAGCUGUUUGCUGGCACUCGAUUAUCAGCGUUCAAUGCUAUUAUCAAAGGUGACUGGUCCUAUGAGGGGCCUUCAGACUCUUACUUCCUGGGUGACAUUAUUAAUGUUGAGGCAUCUGUGAAGGUAUAAAACCACGUCCUUCUGCGUGUGGUUGUGGACCGCUGUGUGGCUACCAGACUACCUGAUGUGAAUGCCCUUCUGAGAUACUUGUUCAUUGAUCAUGGGUGUGUUCAUGUCACCAGAUGCUGCAGAGGUGGCUUGUUGCUGUGACUCAACCGGUGUUCCUGAUGGAGGAACUGCUGCUUCUUUUUGGAGGCCUUCAGUGGGAAGGAAAGGCCUCGCUCGGUCCUGUAGUGGUUCAAGAGCACAAAAAGACUUUAGCUGGUGUUCUAUAAAUGUGGGGAGAAAACUUU